rnacentral:rRNA from 1 species
AUUGAACGCUGGCGGCAGGCCUAACACCUGCAAGUCGCACGAGUGGCGGACGGGUGAGUAAUGUCUGGUAAACUGCCCGAUGGAGGGGGAUAACUCCUGGAAACGGUAGCUAAUACCGCAUACCAUCGGAUGUGCCCAGAUGGGAUUAGCUAGUAGGUGGGGUAAAGGCUCACCUAGGCGACGAUCCCUAGCUGGUCUGAGAGGAUGACCAGACACACUGGAACUGAGACACGGUCCAGACUCCGACGGGAGGCAGCAGUGGGGAAUAUUGCACAAUGGGCGCAAGCCUGAUGCAGCCAUGCCGCGUGUAUGAAGAAGGCCUUCGGGUUGUAAAGGACUUUCAGCGAGGAGGCGUUAAUCGCAGAAGAAGCACCGGCUAACUCCGGGCCAGCAGCCGCGGUAAUAC